rnacentral:rRNA from 1 species
UACGUAGGGGGCAAGCGUUGUCCGGAUUUAUUGGGCGUAAAGAGCUCGUAGGCGGCUUGUCGCGUCGUCCGUGAAAACCCACAGCUCAACUGUGGGCUUGCGGUCGAUACGGGCAGGCUAGAGUUCGGUAGGGGAGACUGGAAUUCCUGGUGUAGCGGUGAAAUGCGCAGAUAUCAGGAGGAACACCGGUGGCGAAGGCGGGUCUCUGGGCCGAUACUGACGCUGAGGAGCGAAAGCGUGGGGAGCGAACAGG